GAUGAACGCUGGCGGCGUGCCUAAUACAUGCAAGUCGAACGCUGGAGAUCUAGCUUGCUAGAUCGAAGGAGUGGCGAACGGGUGAGUAAUACAUAAGCAACCUACCCACGAAGACUGGGAUAAUCUCUGGAAACGGGGACUAAUACCGGAUAGGUAAUCGGAAGGCAUCUUCUGGUUAUUAAAGGUUAAAAACACUGGUGGAUGGGCUUAUGGCGCAUUAGUUAGUUGGUGAGGUAACGGCCCACCAAGACGAUGAUGCGUAGCCGGCCUGAGAGGGUGAACGGCCACAUUGGGACUGAGACACGGCCCAGACUCCUACGGGAGGCAGCAGUAGGGAAUUUUCGGCAAUGGGGGCAACCCUGACCGAGCAACGCCGCGUGAGUGAAGACGGCCUUCGGGUUGUAAAGCUCUGUUGUAAGGGAAGAACGGUAGAUAGAGAANAUCUAAGNGA
rnacentral:rRNA from 1 species